CGCGCAGGCGGUCUUGCAAGUCGCGUGUGAAAGCCCCCGGCUCAACUGGGGAGGGUCACGCGAUACUGCUCAACUCGAAGGCAGGAGAGGGAAGUGGAAUUCCCGGUGUAGUGGUGAAAUGCGUAGAUAUCGGGAGGAACACCAGUGGCGAAGGCGACUUCCUGGCCUGUUCUUGACGCUGAGGCGCGAAAGCUAGGGUAGCAAACG
rnacentral:rRNA from 1 species